GUGAAAGUCACAGUGAGAAGACGCCAGCGUCCAUAGGAAAGCAUUGUGAAUGCUUUCCUAUGAGACUGGCUGAAUUCUUUAUUUAAUAUUGACAUAUGUAUCAAAAUUGGUAUUGACAGUAUUUGAGGUAGUUACAAUCACAUUGCGCGUGUCAUAGUGAUUACAGUAUAUAGCAGGUGAAAAAUAUUACUGUGCUGUUUUAGAUUUUCCUAGAGGUUACUUUUUAACCAG